rnacentral:lncRNA from 1 species
AUGUUAACAGGAGAUGUGUGUGGGACACGGACUUUGGUGUCUCUUCCUGUCCGGGUUCUCCACACCUUGCUUGUUGUUGGCUGUGACUUGGCUCCUGCAUUUGUGUGUGUCUUACCACAGGGGGAGGAGGUGAAUGCUGGCAGGAUCGGACUCACCCUUGUCCUGUCGGGGAUGGCUGGGGCUCUGAUCUCUGGCCUCUGGUUGGACAGAACCAAAACCUACAAGUUGGGUGAAGCUGGCAAGCUGUGGGCUCGCAGCUUCUGAAGCAGCCUGUGGUCCUCGCUGUCAAGUACAGAGGCCAAAAGAGGACAGGAACUGGGCUCCUGUGACAAGAAAGAAUGGUACGCGAGGACUCCUGGGGGUGCUGGGGGGCAGGAGCAGCUGACUAAUAGAGAGACCAGCAGGUUGCUCGCUGCCGUUUCUAGAUGGUGUACCAUUGAUUAUUUCUCGUUUGACAGGCCGAGGAAAUGGAAACACAGAUGUUGUGAGCUGCACUAGCGAACUGUGCGGUCUGGCUUGGCUCUUUCCAGCCCGGGGCUAGUGGCAAGGUAGCCUCAGCUGGCACUGCUGGGGUGGAUGCUCCUCCUGACUCUCCCUAAAUGGAGCUUGGCUGUAGCACAAAUGUUGAGUAGCUCUGUGGCUUACGAGGCAGAGAUGGGGCUUGCAAUUUGGCAGCACAGGAGGAAAAAAAAAAAUCCGGGAUUUGUUCCAAUGUCCCUGCUUGGAGGGACCACGUAGGCGGGCAGAGCUGUCUGAGUGCAGAAAAAUAGGCCUCUGCCACCCAUGGAUUUUAUCCUACAGACUCGUAAGGGUAUCUGAGGAUAGAUUUAGCCUUAGAUGAGGAAAAACACUGCUAAGAACUUGCUCUCCACUGCAGUCCACUAAGUGGGAUUUCUGUGGAAUGAGCAAAAUUUUUUUUCUGAAUACUACAGAGUCUUUAUUUAGCCUCAUUUAAAAGUCUAUUUCAAAAACUGUCAAGAUGCCAGAUGUUCUAGGUAGGUACCCUCCCCCUUCUCUCUGCUGCUCAAAUAGUGUCAGGAAUGAAAUGGUAAGCACAUGAAAAUCAGGAAGGAAAGAUGUCAAGUCCUUUUUUUAGUCAGCUUGGAGAGAGAGAGGGGAGCAAAUUAAUGGGAUCCAGCUGUGAUUGAGAGGAGCAG